rnacentral:rRNA from 1 species
CUUAUGGCCCUCGCUUUUUCUGUACCGUAAGGUGGUACAGGAACAAGGACUGGGCAAGACCGGUGCCAGCCGCCGCGGUAAUACCGGCAGUUCCAAGUGAUGGCCGAUAUUAUUGGGCCUAAAGCGUCCGUAGCCGGCCGGACAAGUCCGUUGGGAAAUCGACGCGCUCAACGCGUCGGCGUCCAGCGGAAACUAUACGGCUUGGGGCCGGAAGACUUGAGGGGUACGUCCGGGGUAGGAGUGAAAUCCUGUAAUCCUGGACGGACCACCAAUGGGGAAACCACGUCAGGAAGACGGACCCGACGGUGAGGGACGAAAGCUAGGGUCUCGAACCGGAUUAGAUACCCGGGUAGUCCUAGCUGUAAACGAUGCUCGCUAGGUGUGCCGUGGGCUACGAGCAUGCGAUGCGCCGUAGGGAAGCCGAGAAGCGAGCCGCCUGGGAAGUACGUCUGCAAGGAUGAAACUUAAAGGAAUUGGCGGGGGAGCACCACAACCGGAGGAGCCUGCGGUUUAAUUGGACUCAACGCCGGACAUCUCACCGGUCCCGACAGUAGUAAUGACGGUCAGGUUGACGACUUUACCCGACGCUACUGAGAGGAGGUGCAUGGCCGCCGUCAGCUCGUACCGUGAGGCGUCCUGUUAAGUCAGGCAACGAGCGAGACCCGCACUUCUAGUUGCCAGCAAUACCCUUGAGGUAGUUGGGUACACUAGGAGGACUGCCGCUGCUAAAGCGGAGGAAGGAACGGGCAACGGUAGGUCAGUAUGCCCCGAAUGGACCGGGCAACACGCGGGCUACAAUGGCUCUGACAGUGGGAUGCAACGCCGAGAGGCGAAGCUAAUCUCCAAACGGAGUCGUAGUUCGGAUUGCGGGCUGAAACCCGCCCGCAUGAAGCUGGAUUCGGUAGUAAUCGCGUGUCAGAAGCGCGCGGUGAAUACGUCCCUGCUCCUUGCACACACCGCCCGUCAAAGCACCCGAGUGGGGUCCGGAUGAGGGCCUU